CUUGAGGAAGCUGCGGCAGCCUUACCCAUUUCUGCAUAUUGCCGGCCUAUCCGACCUGCUGCUAGGCAACUACUACUACUUCCGUUGGAUAGAUGCUAUCUUGGGUACGACUGAGUAGUGUCGGCUAUACUUCAACCCAGACAUUAACGAAGCAAAUAACUUGAUUAUAAGGUUCAGAGAGCUCCUAGCACUUUCUCCGACCAAAGAAGUCUUUCAAGCCAGAUUUUCUUUCAAGAUAACAAUAAAACCUGGGAGCAUCCCUGUCCAUGCAUGAAACAGUACUCGAGAUAUAGAGUGCUACUGUCUUACAUUUCUCAAUAUCCCUAGCUUUAUUAUCAAUAUUCUGAUCAUCAUUAUAUUUUGUUGGCACACAAUUAUAUUUUGUUUAUUUUAUUGAUCUAUUUUCUUCCUAGGAUGAAUGCGGAUUGUUUUCACGUGAUGAUACGUGCAGUGCGUUGCUAGGUCAAAUCGGUGAAUUUGUGGCAGCUCUUUUCGU